CACUAAAAAUAUCAGGAACACUCCAAAUGACGUUUAUCUUUUCGCUAUUCAUGUCAAAAUGACGCGUACGAGUAUUUUGUUCAUAAUGUAGCACUGCACACUCAUAUCCAAAGGACCUUGUUGUGCGUAUGAAUUGAAUUCAACGUUUCACUGUGUGAAUAACUAUUUCCGUGCUGCUUGCGCGUGUCCCGACCGACUUCAUGUGAGGAACAGCAGCCAAAAAUCGGACAUUGGCACUUUAAAUUCUGCCCCGGGUCAUUCAAAGCGCACAGCCACGCUCAAUGCUGAAGAAAGAGGAAGAGAGUUGAUGGAAUCUAAAGACCAAUGUAAAGAUAAUUUUGGAUGUCGCUCCAGUGAUAAAGUGGCACUGGUGAUCUGGAAGGAGACGGAGAGAAACGAGGGCUGACUUCCCAGAUGGAGAGUGUGAGCUCUGCCACUGUCCUCCACACCAACUAGAUGACUGCUUCACGUCGCCUUUGAGACACUGUGUGCAGCAUUUACUGUAUAAGGGUGAUUGUGUGUGUGUGUAAGGUGGAAGUGUUGCUGGUGAGGAUGGAAGAGUGAAAAAUAUUACCUUUUGCUUCUUUGCAUGCAACACAUUACUGCUUGUCUGACUCUACACAAUAAAAAUCACUAUGAUAAUUUCUUUUUUGUGUGAUUUUGUCUGUGUACUGCAUCGGGUCAAGUUGCAUAAUAAAUUGACACUUUAUAUACA